AAAUUACUACGUACCUACUUCUAGAUCAAUCUAGCUACGUACUAAAUCAAACACAGCUUCAUAAUAAUAUUGCUAUUCAGUCCCUCAUCAUUACCAUUAUGGCCAGCUCUUCAGUUGUGGUCAUGGCCAUGGUGGUGGCUGCACCAGUAGCAAAUGCCAUAACAUGUGGGCAAGUGUCUAGCAGCGUUGGGCCAUGCAUCAACUACCUCAAGAGCGGCGGCGUUGUCCCUGCCGCAUGCUGCAAUGGGAUUAGGUCGCUAAAUAGCGCAGCCAAGACCCCGGCUGACCGCCAGACUGCAUGCAAGUGCCUGUAGUCGGCUUCUAGCAGCAUCAAAGGACUCAACUUAAAUCUCGCCGCUGGACUCCCCGGCAAGUGUGGUAUCAACAUUCCAUACAAGAUCAACCCCUCCACCAACUGCAAUAGUGUGCAGUGAGCUUUUUGAAGAAUAUACACGAGGUGAUUUUCUAGCGUAGCAUGAUAUAUAUAUAUAUAUAUAGUUCUAUAGAAAAGAAUAAAGAGUGUGUGGGUUUAUAUCCGCACACGUGCAUCUCUUGCUAUAUAAGGAGUAGCUUUUUUUUAUUUAUAGCUGUAACAUCAUGUACUUUUGAUAUCAUGAGUAAUGAAUUGUUAUAGCAUAUUUUUAUGA